GGGAUGGUGUUUGUAAAUCUGAUGAGGUCAUAUGCCUACUGGACAUAUCCAUGAAUGUUUAUAUGUAGGCCUAUAUAUGUCAAUGUAGCUUAGAUUAGGGGUGUAUAAUAUUUAUAGGUAUAUCCAUGUAUACAGGUGUAUAUGAACCUGUAGAUAGUGUAUAUAGGUGUAUAUGAACCUGUAGAUAGUGUAUAUAGGUGUAUAUGUAGAUAGUGUAUAUAGGUGUAUAUGAACCUGUAGAUAGUGUAUAUAGGUGUAUAUGAACCUGUAGAUAGUGUAUAUAGGUGUAUAUGAACCUGUAGAUAGUGUAUACAGGUGUAUAUGUAGAUAGUGUAUAUAGGUGUAUAUGAACCUGUAGAUAGUGUAUAUAGGUGUAUAUGAACCUGUAGAUAGUGUAUAUAGGUGUAUAUGAACCUGUAGAUAGUGUAUAUAGGUGUAUAUGAACCUGUAGAUAGUGUAUAUAGGUGUAUAUGAACCUGUAGAUAGUGUAUAUAGGUGUAUAUGACCCUGUAGAUAGUGUAUAUAGGUGUAUAUGUAGAUAGUGUAUAUAGGUGUAUAUGUACCUGUAGAUAGUGUAUAUAGGUGUAUAUGAACCUGUAGAUAGUGUAUAUAGGUGUAUAUGAACCUGUAGAUAGUGUAUAUAGGUGUAUAUGAACCUGUAGAUAGUGUAUAUAGGUGUAUAUGAACCUGUAGAUAGUGUAUAUAGGUGUAUAUGUAGAUAGUGUAUAUAGGUGUAUAUGUACCUGUAGAUAGUGUAUAUAGGUGUAUAUGUAGAUAGUGUAUAUAGGUGUAUAUGAACCUGUAGAUAGUGUAUAUAGGUGUAUAUGACCCUGUAGAUAGUGUAUACAGGUGUAUAUGAACCUGUAGAUAGUGUAUAUAGGUGUAUAUGUAGAUAGUGUAUAUAGGUGUAUAUGAACCUGUAGAUAGUGUAUAUAGGUGUAUAUGAACCUGUAGAUAGUGUAUAUAGGUGUAUAUGAACCUGUAGAUAGUGUAUAUAGGUGUAUAUGAACCUGUAGAUAGUGUAUAUAGGUGUAUAUGAACCUGUAGAUAGUGUAUAUAGGUGUAUAUGAACCUGUAGA